rnacentral:pre_miRNA from 1 species
AUCUUUUUGAAUCCGUGCUGAGAUUUUGUCAGACACCAACCCAUUAGGGCUGGAUAGACUUCCAAGAUAGGUGAAGUU